UACGUAGGGCGCAAGCGUUAUCCGGAAUUAUUGGGCGUAAAGAGCUCGUAGGCGGUCUGUCGCGUCGGCUGUGAAAACCCGUGGCUCAACCCCGGGCCUGCAGUCGAUACGGGCAGACUAGAGUGCGGUAGGGGAGACUGGAAUUCCUGGUGUAGCGGUGAAAUGCGCAGAUAUCAGGAGGAACACCGGUGGCGAAGGCGGGUCUCUGGGCCGUAACUGACGCUGAGGAGCGAAAGCGUGGGGAGCGAACAGG
rnacentral:rRNA from 1 species